GUCGAAAUUGUCAAUUUAACAAAUAUUUAGAUCGCGGUAAGAGGCAAUACAAUAUUGAAGCAUAUGCUGUUCAAGUUUUGUUUCAUCACUGAGGAUAUAUUUUUGAAAUUGCAUUAGUUAGAAGUACAUGAGCAAGCACACGGAUCAAUCGACGAAGCAUGCCAAUUAGUCGAUAGCAAAGCUCCCAGCUCAAAGCAGCUACAACAAUAGCAACAACCAAAAUGGAAAUGAAAACGAAUACGAAUACGAAUACAAGUACAAAAAAGCAAAAGUAAAUAAAUAAGAAUACAUUAAAAGAAAAUUUGAGCCGCUGUCAAAAAGGCAAAGGGAUCAGUUCACAAAACAGAAAACCGACUACAACAACAACAACAACAACAACAGCAGUAAUUCUCCCACCCCUUACAUGAGACUUAUGGAAGCUUUUAAAAAGUCGUCGACACAGAGACUAGUGUCGAGGGAUGGGAAAGGUCGCAUCCCCUACAACUCCCCAUCUCCCGUCUUCGCCUCUUCUCCGCUGCCAAUAGUUUUGCUUGUAGCUCUGCGGUUGUGCUCUUCUUCCUUCCAUCAUGUUGAUGCUGCUUUUGGGCUGGAUUGCUGUAGAUGUUGUUGCUGUUGUUUUUUGGGGUGAUGCUGCCGCUUGUUAUUUUUAAUUAAGCAAAUUUUCGGCACAAACAUAAGAAAACAACUAGUAGCACACUUAAAAAUAUACGCACAAUAAGUGCA